rnacentral:tRNA from 1 species
AGUCUUAUAUUCAUUUUAAUGAUAUUAGAAUGCAAUUCUAAUGGUGUAGAAUCUUACUAAGACUU